rnacentral:rRNA from 1 species
CCUACGGGGCGCAGCAGUCGAGAAUCAUUCACAAUGGGGGAAACCCUGAUGGUGCGACGCCGCGUGGGGGAAUGAAGGUCUUCGGAUUGUAAACCCCUGUCAUGUGGGAGCAAAUUAAAAAGAUAGUACCACAAGAGGAAGAGACGGCUAACUCUGUGCCAGCAGCCGCGGUAAUACAGAGGUCUCAAGCGUUGUUCGGAAUCACUGGGCGUAAAGCGUGCGUAGGCUGUUUCGUAAGUCGUGUGUGAAAGGCGCGGGCUCAACCCGCGGACGGCACAUGAUACUGCGAGACUAGAGUAAUGGAGGGGGAACCGGAAUUCUCGGUGUAGCAGUGAAAUGCGGAGAUAUCGAGAGGAACACUCGUGGCGAAGGCGGGUUCCUGGACAUUAACUGACGCUGAGGCACGAAGGCCAGGGGAGCGAAAGGGAUUAGAUACCCCUGUAGUC